UGGGGAAUAUUGCACAAUGGAGGGAACUCUGAUGCAGCGACGCCGCGUGAGUGAUGAAGGAAUUCGUUUCGUAAAACCCUGUUCUAUGGGAAGAAAAGGACUGUACCAUAGGAGAAAGCUCCGGCUAAAUACGUGCCAGCAGCCGCGGUAAUACGUAUGGAGCGAGCGUUGUCCGGAAUUAUUGGGCGUAAAGGGUGCGCAGGCGGCUUUACAAGUUGGAUGUGAAAUAUUGUGGCUCAACCACAAACGUGCAUCCAAAACUGCAAAGCUUGAGUUAAGGAGAGGUAAGUGGAAUUCCUGGUGUAGCGGUGGAAUGCGUAGAUAUCAGGAGGAAUGCCGGUGGCGAAGGCGACUUACUGGACUUAAACUGACGCUCAGGCACGAAAGCGUGGGGAGCAAACAGG
rnacentral:rRNA from 1 species